UGGCAGCCUUCCAAUGUUCUAUACCGGGGUUGCUUUGAAAACGACCAAGUAACCCAACAGCAUAAGAAAUGUUUGGACGAGUACACGUGUGAGCAUACUGCAGGCUCCCAACUGCCGAAGCAUACGGUGCAGGUCCAGAAGAGCAAUUUUGCAUUCCAAAUCUUUCAAGGACUUUAGAGAUAUAAGCCUUCUGAGAUAAACCAAGAAUAUCUUUAUGUCUAUCUCGAUGAAUCUCAAUACCGAAAACCUAGGGAUGCAAAUGGAUUCGGGUUGGUGGAGCUCCCGCCUCGAUCCGCCCCUAAUGGGGCAGUAAAUGGGAGGAAAUAAACGGAUUCGGGGUAGGAAAUGGGGCAGUUUUUAUGAUCCGAGGCGGAUUCGGGGCAGGAAACGGGAAAAUUUUUUAUCCGCCCCGAAUCCGCCCCGAAAACUAUUUCUAUAUUUCUUUAAAAUACUCUUGAAAAAUGAUAUAUUUACAAAACAUCCAACUAUAUAAGCUCUCAUUUUGCAAACCCUAAAAAAAAUCUCACUCUCCCUGUCUCCCAAGUCCCAACUCACAACUCGUCCAUCGACCACCCUCCCAACUCCUCCUUCUCCCCCAACACGACCGGCUGCCGCCGCUGCCGCCGCCCUUUCCCUCGCCUCCCUUGCCUCCGCCGGCCGCUGCCGCCCUUUCCCUCGCCUCCACGGCUCCGCCGGUCGCCGCCCCUUUCCUCACCUCCGCGGGCCGCCGCCCUUUCCCUCGCCUCCGCCGGUCCCUUUUCAACUAUAUUUCACUUAUUCCUCUCCGUUAAAAUAGGAUGUACUGGCAUUAUUUUAUUAGACAAACUACCGAGAAGCUAAAUGUAUUGAGUCUAUUGACUGGCUUCGUAGCUAUUGACUGGCUUCAUAGCUGAGAAUGAAGAUGAUUUCCUUCAAUGUGGUUGGCUUUUUUCUUCUUACAUAUAGUUAGGGAAAGGAUUGGAAUGGAGUUGUAAGAAAAUCUGAUAAUUUUGCUUAAGUUUGUUAAUUUUCAAGUGCACUAAAUUUGGAGGAAUUGUAAUUCUAGUAGACUUUUUUGCCAUAUGUAUGUAUUUAAAAUUUUUGAA